GCGGGCGUAAUUCAAUGGUAGAAUACGAGUUUUCCAAACUCGAUGCGAGGGUUCGAUUCCCUUCGCCCGCU
rnacentral:tRNA from 1 species